UACGAAGGGGGCUAGCGUUGCUCGGAAUCACUGGGCGUAAAGGGUGCGUAGGCGGGUCUUUAAGUCAGGGGUGAAAUCCUGGAGCUCAACUCCAGAACUGCCUUUGAUACUGAAGAUCUUGAGUUCGGGAGAGGUGAGUGGAACUGCGAGUGUAGAGGUGAAAUUCGUAGAUAUUCGCAAGAACACCAGUGGCGAAGGCGGCUCACUGGCCCGAUACUGACGCUGAGCACGAAAGCGUGGGGAGCAAACAGGA
rnacentral:rRNA from 1 species